GGUGGGACAGCAGGUCCAGCCCAUGCUCCCUGCCCGACAACCAUGUGCAGGGCUGGACACAGGCUGCUUUGUGAUGUAGGUCCCAUGUCACUCGUUCGCCAUGGAAACCAGGGAUGGGCAGGGAAUAAAUCCUAGCCACCCGUGCUCUCUGGCCAGUCUCAGCGCAACCUGAGAGACUCCACCAAGAUAUAUAGAGAAUUAGUUAUUUGGCUAGAGUUAGACAUAGAAGGGGUGAUAGAUUAGAGAUAAUAGAGUAGAUAGUAGAUAGAGCAGCUAGGAGUAGAGAUAGUAUAGAUAGGUAUUUAGAGUAGAGAAGAUAGAAUAGGUGAUAGGUUAUAGAAAAUGAUAAGUAAGGAGGACCGAGGGCAGUGGCCCCAGCUGAGCAGCAGGACCAGCUGCUCCAACCUGGACAGCAGGGAGGCACGGCCAGGACACUGCCCGGUGUGGUUCCCCCAGCUGCACAAGCAGAAGAGCCCUCGGGUGCUGCCGGCUCUCCAGCCUCCUCCCGGCCACCCUGGGCCACCCCAAAGACCUGUCUGGGUGCGGGCUCCGCUCCGUUUAUACCCACCAUGCCGCACAGAAGACGGAGAAGAUGUG